rnacentral:rRNA from 1 species
UACAGAGGUCUCAAGCGUUGUUCGGAUUCAUUGGGCGUAAAGGGUGCGUAGGUGGCGCGGUAAGUCGGGUGUGAAAUUUCGGAGCUUAACUCCGAAACUGCAUUCGAUACUGCCGUGCUUGAGGACUGGAGAGGAGACUGGAAUUUACGGUGUGGCAGUGAAAUGCGUAGAGAUCGUAAGGAAGACCAGUGGCGAAGGCGGGGUCUCUGGACAGUUCCUGACACUGAGGCACGAAGGCCAGGGGGAGCAAACGGGG